rnacentral:rRNA from 1 species
UACAGAGGUCCCAAGCGUUGUUCGGAUUCACUGGGCGUAAAGGGUGCGUAGGCGGUCGGGUAAGUCUGAUGUGAAAUCUCACAGCUUAACUGUGAAACUGCAUUGGAUACUAUCCGGCUCGAGGAAUGGAGGGAGACUGGAAUACUUGGUGUAGCAGUGAAAUGCGUAGAAUAUCAAGUGGAACACCAGUGGCGAAAGGCGAGUCUCUGGACAUUUCCUGACGCUGAGGCACGAAAGCCAGGGGAGCAAACGGG